rnacentral:rRNA from 1 species
AGCGAACGCUGGCGGCAGGCUUAACACAUGCAAGUCGAGCGGGCCCUUCGGGGUCAGCGGCAGACGGGUGAGUAACACGUGGGAACGUACCCUUUGGUUCGGAAUAACGCUGGGAAACUAGCGCUAAUACCGGAUACGCCCUUUUGGGGAAAGGCUUGCUGCCGAAGGAUCGGCCCGCGUCUGAUUAGCUAGUUGGUGGGGUAAUGGCCUACCAAGGCGACGAUCAGUAGCUGGUCUGAGAGGAUGAUCAGCCACACUGGGACUGAGACACGGCCCAGACUCCUACGGGAGGCAGCAGUGGGGAAUAUUGGACAAUGGGCGCAAGCCUGAUCCAGCCAGGCCGCGUGAGUGAUGAAGGCCUUAGGGUUGUAAAGCUCUUUUGGCCGGGACGAUAAUGACGGGACCGGAAGAAUAAGCCCCGGCUAACUUCGU